ensembl:lncRNA
AGACCCAAGGGACCCUACCUUACGUGGGCCAGCCAGGACUCCUCCAACCUCCAAUUCCAUUCAUCACUGGCGUCACUUGAGGAUCACCUCUCAUCGCGCGGUGCAGUCUGGACUUAUUCAACUUCCAAUUCUAUUCCAAAUGGUCUAUCCAUUUCUCCCUCAUCAAUACCCUCUCAUCCUGCCAUCUAACAACAAGUUGGCUAAAAACCCACUCACAAACAUCCUUUUAUCCCCAACAUCCAUUCUUCCACCCUUCCUUCAGCUGUUUUACAGCAUACGGCUCCCAGUUUUCUAAUGAUUCAUACAGCUACUUCGGCGGUCCAGGUGCCUCAUCCAGUGCCCCAAGAGACCCUACCUUACGUGGGCCAGCCGGGAUUCCUCCAACCUCCAAUUCCAUUCGUCUGGUCUACCAUUCCCCUUUCCUCCCUCCAUCAAUACCUUCACAUCCUGCCCCAGAGAGCAGCAUGUGACCGUCAGCCCCACCAACCAAGGGAGAGCACGGCCCCACACUGCACCAGCGCACCGACAGCUAAGACGCCGAGCAAUGAGCACCAAACCGCCUCACAGCCACGCCUAUCACCACCCUUCCGAUUAAUAAAAUCCACCCUUCGGGGAACUUACCCUCAUCCUCGAGUCGUGUCCUCCUUCACCCCACCACAAUAUAUAUAUAUAUAUAUAUAUAUAUAUAUAUAUAUAUAUAUAUAUAUAUAUAUAUAUAUAUGUUUACAUUGUGGAUUGUUUAGACUACAUUUUUCCAAAUGGUGAAAUUGUUCACCAACUUAGCUCUGAUGUGGUAAAUGUUUUAAAUGCGUUAUAUCCGGCUAUUGGCGUUCGCAAUCGUCUGAAUUGUAAAUGUAUCAGAAAGCUGUAAAUGUCACCGAUAAGUGGCUCAUCGACAGACAUAUAUGCGCGUCCAUUCUUAUCAGUGAUGCUAUUUAUUAUCAGUUAUGAAUCUUCUGCCAGGCAUGUUUUGUUCACUUAUGUGUUCAGCUGACAAGGAACAGUUUCCUAGAGUGGCACAAAGAUGUAUAACUGUUCAAUUCCGUGUACUAUGUGAGAGAGUAGGUUUGUGGGCUUCUACAAAUCUUACACCCUUUUUUAUCUUGGACUCUUCCUGUUUACUUAGUCCAAUUCUUAAGUUCUAUUUUGUUGUCUAAAUCAAUUUUUAUUUAUUAUUAUUAUUAUUAUUAUUUACAGAUUCCCCCAAUCUCUCGCAUGGCCAAACUCUGUAUGCUAAACCAUAUUAUUAUCAGUAUUAUUAUAAUUAUUAUUAUUAUUAUUACUUUUUAAAUGUUUAAUUAUUAUUUAAACAUGUUUUAAUACACAGAAUUGAUAAAAAGUGAUCAAUUUCUUAAUUCAGGGACAAAAAUUUUGGCAUGGCAUGGGCUCUGUAUACGGGAAUAAAUGUGUUAAAAAAGGCCAGAUAAUGAAUAAGUAUGUGUGACCUGCUGAAAUACAUCAGAGAAUUAUUAAAUGUAAGUUUGAAGCCUUUCAUAAUUUGUGGCAUUAUUGUGAGUGCCAAAUUAUGUUAGAACAGGGCCUAGCCUAUAACACUCAUCAAUAAGAUGAGAUAAAAAUGCAAACAUGUACAUCCAUCUUGCUCACAUAUUAUUUUAGCACAGUUUGUGCUGAAUACGAAAAAAAAAAAUUGUGUGUUGGCCAAUAGUAUGUUAUAAGUAGCUGAAAUAAGCACAAAUGUCAGGGCAUGUCAAAACAGCUCAAGGGCCCCAGAAUCACCUCAGACCCCAGAGGGGUAAUGAUGCACUCAUCUCAUGACCUAAUUCACUGAUCUCAAUUAGUGUCUAAUUAUAUGGGUAGAUUUUUUUUAACUUUUUUUUUAUUGUUUAUGGUGCUAAUAUGACUCCACACGAUAUGUUGACAAACUAUUGUAGAGAAAUUUAAAAACAUUUUAUGCACAAAAAUUUUAUUUGUGCAUAUGAUUGCGGUAUCAGUGGUGCAAUUGAAAAGUUUUAGUAAUAUAUCACACCCAUAAUAAGAGAUUAAACAUUAGGUGAGAUCAGUGAAUCGGACUGGUUCAUGAUGGUCUUGACAUCACAAACACCAGUUUUCUCUAAUCAUAGAUUAUUUUGGAUUUUCUUGUUAUAAAAGCUGUGUUAAAUAAACACAGUUAAUUAAAGCAACCAAAGAAAACACACUUUUAAAAAGUCAAGGCUCAAGAGCCCAACUAAAGCAAACACCGAUCACCAUUAUGGUGACUUGAAAUGAAAGCACAACAUUUAACAUCUUAAUUAGAGCUUCUGUACACAUGACAGUAAUAAAGUCACACUGGUUAGUUUAAGCUGUUUGUGGAGCUGAUAGCAGCAGACGGUUGAGUUGAUCAUGUUUGAUCAGUUAAGCAUUCUCAAAUCUUCACGACUUGCUUAAAAUAAAAUCUGUUGAUAUUAAACACUUAAAGCUGCAGUCUCUAAAGCUGAGAGACUGCAACGGCUGAAGUUAAAAAAAAAUCAUAAUUUGAGUUCUACUGAAGAAACAAAGUCACAUACAUCUUGGAUGCCCUGGGGGUAAGCAGAUAAACAACAAAAUUUUAUUUUUGGGUGAACUAUCCCUUUAAACAUUUAACUUAAAUAAAAGUAAGCUGUCAUGCAUAUUAAGCUUUUGUGCAGAGUGUGGAAGUUGAAGCGCACUUAAUGCAUGAGGCACCAGCGUGAUCACUUCAUUUUGAUCUUCAGUGGAAACAAGUAGGCUACACCAUCAUUUUGUUCAUCCUACCCGUAGGGAGGUGACAUGUGGAGAUACUGAUAUGGACUGACCCAGGGGGCAGUACUACAUAUGGAAUGGGUCUCUGAAGCAGGUCUUACCUUAGAGUAGGGAUGGAACAACUACAAGUAGAGACUGACAGAGCGGGUUUGUCAAGGGAAGACACAGGUUUACCGAGAGGGAAACCUUACUGUGGAAGAGAACUUAAAUGGGAUUUCCUGAAGGGAAUCAAGCCAUUUGGACACCUAGCCCAGUACAGUGGCUGACUGGGACUGUGCUCUACACGAAGGUUGUAAAACCUCGCUAAGGUGUUAGAUGUCGCCCAGCCCACAGCUUGACAGAUUUCUGAAUCAAGCGGCUCAAAGGGUCCCCUCUAAAGUCCAGCCAGGACAAUAAAGAUAUCCCAUGAGGGUAUAAGUGGUGUCCUAGGAGAAUUCAACCUUCUGGCACCCCUCAGGAAACUAACGAUCAGGUCAUGCUUUCCCAGGGACUGGACGUCCACUGCAUUGUGAUGUGCUGCGAUAGCAGCAACAUACACUUACAAGGUAGAGGGUGACAGCCUACGCUCCAACCUUUCAACUCUAAUCAAGCAUCUCCGUGGGUCUUCUUGGUGAGAAGGACACCAAUUCGUGAACAGACUCCAUUUCAAAGCAUAGGCAUGCCUCAAAGAGGGAGUUUUAGCCUGAGCCACCUCAAAAUGUUGUCAUGACAAAACUUGUAGUCACCGACAAAUAGGAAAUAGUUUUGCCACUUUGGGGAAAAAUUUAUUGGAUAUUAUUUAAAUAGUCUGUCUAAUUAAAAUAAACAUAUAUAGGCCUAUCAUCAUGUCCAGUCAGAAUAAAAGCAACUCUGACUGAUUAUGGUUUGUCAUUACAGAAAUAUGGAAUAGGCUCUUUGUUUUUAACUAUAUUCUAUUCAUCUUUGUUAGGGAAAGAAAUGCUACACCAUGCUUUCAUUACAUGUUGCUUCUUUAGCUCAGUGAGUCUCUUUACUCUUCCAUGUUUCAUGCAACAUCGUGUGUAAAAGAAAAUAGAAAAUCUAUGAAUUAGUAGUGAAGUUAAAAAAAGAGAGAAAAAAGAGUAAUUAGCAGCAAUUAAACUUGCCUGGAUGAAAUCAAAUGAAUGUGUGUUAUUCAUGUAUUUUUCAUGUGUGUACUAGAACUAAUUUGAAAAACAAAUAAAUUGUUGACGUGUUGACAUGCUUUUGCAUUUUAAAACUGGUCAAAUGCAUACUAUGUGGUAUAUGUGGUUUUGCAGAGGAGAAUAUAAGCUUUGUGCAUGUUCUUUCGUUCAUUUUUUGUGAGCACACUGAAAGCUGGACGAACUGCCGGAUCAAAAGCUUACAAGUGGAUUUGAAGUAAGUUUAAUAGGAUAAACCAGUUACUUAAUGGAGAUAAUUAUGUAUAAUGAUAUAAUAGGGCUGCAUGAUAUUGGGGAGAAACACUUGUGUGCGUGUGUGUGUGUGUGUGUGUGUGUGUGUGUGCGUGCGUGUGUAUAUAUAUUAUAAUAAUUGGAUAAUUCAUAAAUGGGUUUACCUUUUACAAGUAUAAAUUCAAACCUCUUUCAGUAACCAUUUUGUAGUAAAAAAAAAAAACUAUUUCAAAUAUAUUGUAAUAAUAAAAUAUUGUAAAAACGAAUUUGUAAAAUAAACUAAAAUAAAAAAGUAAAAUUGGAAUACUAAUAUUUACAUAUUAGUUUCUUCAUCUUUUAAACAAUAAUUUUGCACACAAAUAAAAAUAUCUGCUGCCGGUUUCAGAGUAAAGCUUUGUGUCCAUUAACACGCAUACAGCCCAUGGUAUCAGCAUCUCAGAACAGCUUGAUUCACUGUAAAUGAACCAAUCCACAAUUUAACAAUUGCACUAAGCCAUAUUGCCAUAUUGAUUUUAUUUUAAAAUACAGUAUAUUAUGCAGUCCUUCAUGUGAUUUAAAAUGAGGUUAUGCUGUGAAGAGCAGUAAAUUUCUAAACACCAGUUAGAUUGUUGUAUAAAGAAUGAUUUAGUGAUUGAUUUUAUAUUAUAAAUUCCUUGUCUAUAAAUUAG